rnacentral:rRNA from 1 species
GGGCAUCCUGCUUACCAUGCAAGUCGAGGGGAACGGCAUUGAGUGCUUGCACUCUUUGGACGUCGACCGGCGCACGGGUGAGUAACGCGUAUCCAACCUUCCCAUUACUGUGGGAUAACCUGCCGAAAGGCAGACUAAUACCGCAUAGUCUUCGAUGACGGCAUCAGAUUUGAAGUAAAGAUUUAUCGGUAAUGGAUGGGGAUGCGUCUGAUUAGCUUGUUGGCGGGGUAACGGCCCACCAAGGCAACGAUCAGUAGGGGUUCUGAGAGGAAGGUCCCCCACAUUGGAACUGAGACACGGUCCAAACUCCUACGGGAGGCAGCAGUGAGGAAUAUUGGUCAAUGGACGGAAGUCUGAACCAGCCAAGUAGCGUGCAGGAUGACGGCCCUAUGGGUUGUAAACUGCUUUUGUAUGGGGAUAAAGUUAGGGACGUGUCCCUAUUUGCAGGUACCAUACGAAUAAGGACCGGCUAAUUCCGUGCCAGCAGCCGCGGUAAUACGGAAGGUCCAGGCGUUAUCCGGAUUUAUUGGGUUUAAAGGGAGCGUAGGCUGGAGAUUAAGUGUGUUGUGAAAUGUAGACGCUCAACGUCUGAAUUGCAGCGCAUACUGGUUUCCUUGAGUACGCACAACGUUGGCGGAAUUCGUCGUGUAGCGGUGAAAUGCUUAGAUAUGACGAAGAACUCCGAUUGCGAAGGCAGCUGACGGGAGCGCAACUGACGCUUAAGCUCGAAGGUGCGGGUAUCAAACAGGAUUAGAUACCCUGGUAGUCCGCACAGUAAACGAUGGAUGCCCGCUGUUGGUACCUGGUAUCAGCGGCUAAGCGAAAGCAUUAAGCAUCCCACCUGGGGAGUACGCCGGGCAACGGUGAAACUCAAAGGAAUUGACGGA